rnacentral:rRNA from 1 species
AUGAACGCUGGCGGCGUGCCUAAUACAUGCAAGUCGCGCGAACGGACGAGAAGCUUGCUUCUCUGAUGUUAGCGGCGGACGGGUGAGUAACACGUGGAUAACCUACCUAUAAGACUAGGAUAACUUCGGGAAACCGGAGCUAAUACCGGGUGAUAUUUUGAACCGCAUGGUUCAAAAGUGAAAGACGGUCUUGCUGUCACUUAUAGAUGGAUCCGCGCUGCAUUAGCUAGUUGGUAAGGUAACGGCUUACCAAGGCAACGAUGCAUAGCCGACCUGAGAGGGUGAUCGGCCACACUGGAACUGAGACACGGUCCAGACUCCUACGGGAGGCAGCAGUAGGGAAUCUUCCGCAAUGGGCGAAAGCCUGACGGAGCAACGCCGCGUGAGUGAUGAAGGUCUUCGGAUCGUAAAACUCUGUUAUUAGGGAAGAACAUAUGUGUAAGUAACUGUGCACAUCUUGACGGUACCUAAUCAGAAAGCCACGGCUAACUACGUG